UCGUUUGUGACAAAAAAAAAUAUAUAUAUAUACUCGUUACUUUUUAGCUGCAUUAUUGGUGUGUGUUGAUUCAAAGUCAACGGAAACCACUUGAUUUGUGAACAGUCAACAUCCUUGAUCCUUCUACGCAAUAGCCUCACUUCUUUAAAAAGGCUUCACUUUCUUUAGCUUUAUAUUUACCUCGAUAAGAUAAGCGUCUACAUUGUACUCACAGAUUUAAAAAUAAUCUUAUCAUAUCAUAUAAAAAAUACAAAAAAAUAUACAAAACGUUAAAGAAGAUUUUUUUAAAUUAUUAUUUGAACUUCCGGUCCGGACACAUUAAUAUUAUGGAUUAGUCGAGUUUGUGUGUUUAGUAAUACGUAUGCACCUAAACUAACUAUAAUAUUAUGGUUGCAUGUUUAAUGACCAUAACGAUCAAAAGCAUCUAAAAACAUAAAAGUUGAAUAAGAGGCGUGGUGGAAAAUGGCAAUGUUCUUUGAUUGUUAGAGACAGCGUCAUUGAAGUCAUGCAUGUCACGUGUCUUCCUCGUUUCUUCUGGCUGUGAUGACCCAAGCCCUAUGUCAUUUAACAAUUUCUUUUAAAUUAAAAAUUUGCGUGCUUUUGCCUCGUAAUAAAAUUGUAGCGGUU
rnacentral:lncRNA from 1 species